CAACAUGCUAAAUCCUGUUAGCAACAUGCUAAUUAAUUUGUAUUGAGUCAAUUUGUGUUAGUCAAAUUUCCAUGAGAUUUAUUUAGCAUGUAUUAAUAUAGUAGUACUAGUAUGAUUAUUGUGUUUUACUAUUAAUAGUGUACUUAACUUUUGUUGUGUGUCUUAUGUAUGUGUUUGUGGAAUAAUUUUCUGAUAGAUAAAAGUAAAGUAAUUCAGAUAGGAUGUCAUACUAUGUACAUGUUAGUAUUUAUAGACAAAGUUUAAUCCACACAUCAUGAAAAAGUGUGGAACCAGCCAUGUUCAGAAACAAUAGACUGAUUAAACAUCAUGGGCAGAGCAUAUGGCUUACACCAUGCCCUAAGACAAUCUCUGGUUGCCCAUUAAUGGCAGGACUAGCCAGAAAGAGUUCAAAUCCAAUUCUUCCGUUUGCUGUGCUCUGCCGUCUCAACUCAUCUCCUCUCAUCAGAGGUGGUGGCAGGAGUCUUCAGUCAACAUCUGCUUAGACCCAGCCUAGAGCUCCCAGCUUUUCAAAACUCCCACCACCAGCUCUCUAUACAUGGCUCAUACUAGACAGUGUUACAUUCAACAUUCUGGUUGGUCUUCCGAGACACCACUCAACACUGAUCAGAAGAACGAAUAAUCAUCGUGGUAAUCCCCUCAACACCAUGAUGUAACACGGAAACCAACGCAACAGGCAAGCAAUAUCCCAGACUCUAUCUAAGACUGGUGCAUAUAAUAAGUUUAAAGCCCUGCAGAAGUGAUAUUAGAUUGAUAAAAUUUAUGGUUUCUUCAGGUCAUGGUCUGUGAAAUAACAUUGUUUGUUAUAAACUCGGAACUUCAUUCACUCUGUUAAACCGUUUUUACCUCUGCUUGCUUGUGUGUUUGUGUGUGUGUGCAUGCAUGUGUGUGUGUUUGUGUGUUAGAUUAGUUUCUGUGUCAUAGAAUAGUUCAAUAAAUUUUCAUCUGUUUUUAAACACACGUGUCUUAUUUGAUUACGUGGUCCACUGCCUUGAAUUGUCGAUCUUGCUACAUGCUCUUAAAAUAAUGGUUCCAUGUAUUUAGUAUAUUAUUGCCAAUGGCCAUGGAGGUCAGAAAUACUAAAUUAGCCAAAUUUCCCCUUUUAAAUUGAUCCUGCAUAUUUGGUGGAGAAUCUAAUAGCUAAUUUUAAACAGCAAAUGAUUUUUUUUUCCUCUGGCAAAAUUGAAAAUAGACAAAAAAUUCAGACUAUUUCAAAACAGACAGUCUUAUAACUAACCCUUUAGAUAAUAAUAUAGCACUAUCAGAUCAAUGAUUAAAAUGUUUUAUUCCCCUUUGAAAGAACGAACUAAUUUAAUAAAUUUCUUCAUCAAAAUCAUCAACUUAUAUACUAGAUCCCUUACCUACAUGUUUCUUUAAGCAGAAGCAGAUUAUUCCAGAAGUAAUCAAACCCCUUCUAAAAAUAAUCAAUUCUUACCUUAGCAUUACCUAUGUACCAGAGACAUCACUAGGGUCAAAAUAUUCAUUAGCCCCCCCCUAAGCAAAUCAGUAUAUCAGCCAAUAUAUUUUCUUUUUUACUUCUUUUUUUUUCAUCAAUGGUUCGAUUCCAUCGCAUCUUAAACCCGUUCCUGGGUGGGCACUAGGACCUGGGGGAGUAAUCCACACAUGACACAGUUUACUGUUACAUGUGACCGUUAUCACGGUUACAAUUCGGCUGCUCCCUCACACUUGCUGCAGAUUCACACACAGGCAGCGUGAGUGCAGAAUGAAGCGGUCACGCGCCCCUCCUGGUCUUAAAGGGAAAUACUUCCAGAUCAUUACAAGAGGGUCACAGGGAAACCUGGAGCCUAUCCCAGGGAGCAUCGGGCACAACAAGGAGGGAUACACACUGGACAGGGUGCCAAUCCAUUGCAGGGCACACAAAAACAUACACAUUCACACACGCCACUCAGCCUACCAUGCAUGUCUUUGGACUGGGGGGAAGAAACCAGAGUACCCGGAGGAAAUCCCUGCAGCACGGGGCCACGGUGGGAAUCAAACUCUCGACCCUGGAGGUGUGAGGCGAACGUGCUAACCACUAAGCCACCAUGCGCCCGCUACUGUUAUCAAAUUUGAUCGUGAACUAGGAAAGACUUCAUGCUGUGGUACAAUUGUGUUUUCCAGCUAAUAUCUCCCAGCUUUAGUCAUCUGGAGGCAUCUGUAUGCAAAAAAAUAAAUAAAAAAUCAGAGCGAAAACAAACCCUUCUGUUUCAGUGUGUUCAAACUUCUAUUACUCAAUACCAGUAGCAUGUACAGUGAUUCUGACAUCUGGGGGGAAAAACUUCAGAUUGUCACCUUUCAAAAGAGACCAAAACCUUGCAUGCACUCUAAAUGGUUUAAGAACAGCUUCAAUUUGAC
ensembl:lncRNA